rnacentral:rRNA from 1 species
UACGUAGGGGGCAAGCGUUGUUCGGAAUUACUGGGCGUAAAGGGCGCGUAGGCGGCACGGCAAGUCAGGAGUGAAAGCCCUGGGCUCAACCCAGAAACUGCUUUUGAAACUGCCGAGCUAGAGUGCGGAAGGGGCAACUGGAAUUCCCAGUGUAGCGGUGAAAUGCGUAGAUAUCAGGAGGAACACCGAUGGCGAAGGCAGGUCUCUGGGCCGAUACUGACGCUGAGGAGCGAAAGCGUGGGGAGCGAACAGG